rnacentral:rRNA from 1 species
UACGAAGGGGGCUAGCGUUGCUCGGAAUCACUGGGCGUAAAGGGCGCGUAGGCGGAUGUUUAAGUCGGGGGUGAAAGCCCGGGGCUCAACCUCGGAAUUGCCUUCGAUACUGGACAUCUUGAGUACGGGAGAGGUGAGUGGAACUCCGAGUGUAGAGGUGAAAUUCGUAGAUAUUCGGAAGAACACCAGUGGCGAAGGCGACUCACUGGCCCGUUACUGACGCUGAGGUGCGAAAGCGUGGGGAGCAAACAGG